GUUUCCGGUUCGCCUCCGGAGCCAUGGCGGCGGCACUGAAGUGUCUACUGACAUUAGGAAGAUGGUGCCCCGGCCUUGGAGUAGCUCCCCAGGCCCGGGCGCUCGCCGCCUUAGUACCCGGAGUGACCCAGGUAGAUAACAAGUCCGGUUUCCUGCAGAAGAGGCCUCAUCGCCAGCACCCUGGCAUCCUAAAGCUGCCGCACGUGCGGCUGCCACAGGCACUGGCUAACGGUGCCCAGUUAUUGCUACUUGGUGAGUAACGGCGGGAAAGCGAGAAGAAACGGGACUGGACCUACAUGCAAGUGAUUCCGCUUUUCAUCUUUGGCCCAUAGGGAGCGCUGGGCCCACUAUGGAGAAUCAGGUGCAAACACUGACCAGUUAUCUCUGGAGCAGACAUUUGCCUGUAGAGCCAGAGGAGUUGCAAAGACGGGCUAGGCAUCUUGAGAAAAAAUUCCUGGAAAACCCAGGUCCUGACUUCCAGUCCUUGUUCUCACCACAGACUUAUCUCAGACAGAGGAGAAACUUCGUGGAGCAGUGCUACAUGCACUACGUAAAACUACCUACCAUUGGCAAGAACUGAGGUAAGGGGGCCCAGAAGAGGUGCACAAGAAAGAAAGGGUAGACUUUAGAAAGAGAGUUGGGGGAGUAAAAU
rnacentral:sRNA from 1 species